rnacentral:siRNA from 1 species
UGGUAUCAUAUCAUUGUGU